rnacentral:lncRNA from 1 species
GAGAAAACAAACAGAAAACAAAAAUGUAUUCCAUCAUUAUUGGUGUUCAUCUUUCUCUGGAAAGACGUUUUCUUAUGGACUAAACUGGGAAAUCAUCCCUUUCAGAUUUUUCAUUUAUGAGAAACAAUCCCUUGAGGGACAAAAGUAAUCUGACUGUGAUUUGGAGAUUCUGGUGGAAAGCUUUAAUAGUGAUAAUAAUAGCAUCAAGUAUUCAAGAUUCAUUUGUUUGUCUUCCGUUGGGUUCUUGACAUCUUGGGUCUGACAUUCCUGUCAGAUGAUUAAGAAAAUAAGAGAACUGAAAACUAAUUUUUAAACAGGUAUAAUAGAAGCUGAACUUCUGCAAAAGUCAGAAUGCAAUAAGACAAUUGGAAGUACUGCAUCUGGAAGAGUGCAUAUUAUAACACAUGUAGAAGGAAAAAAAAUUAACUGUGGCCUCCUACAAAGUACACACAUACAACCCUUCAAAACAAACAAAAAAUUUAAAAAGCUUCAUAAGAAGAACAUAUGUAAAUGC